GCUGCUGUAGAUCAAUGGGAGAUCGCCCCGGUCCAUGUGACGAAUAAUCCGGGAUGUUUACUGGGAUGAUUGCGGUUCGAUUCCGCACGGCAGCG